rnacentral:tRNA from 2 species
GGGCCGGUAGCUCAGCCAGGCAGAGCAGCUGCCUUUUAAGCAGAAGGUCCUGGGUUCGAUUCCCAGCCGGCCCACCA